GCCGAGCAGCCUGGCAACGGCGGUGGCGCCCGGAGCCCGAGAGUUUCCAGGAUGGCUUCUGCAUCAACUUCUAAAUAUAAUUCACACUCCUUGGAGAAUGAGUCUAUUAAGAGGACGUCUCGAGAUGGAGUCAAUCGAGAUCUCACUGAGGCUGUUCCUCGACUUCCAGGAGAAACACUAAUCACUGACAAAGAAGUUAUUUACAUAUGUCCUUUCAAUGGCCCCAUUAAGGGAAGAGUUUACAUCACAAAUUAUCGUCUUUAUUUAAGAAGUUUGGAAACGCCAUUAUUUGCAUUUUUAAAUGAAGAAAAGUUUAACGUGGAUGGAUGGACAGUUUACAAUCCAGUGGAAGAAUACAGGA
rnacentral:lncRNA from 1 species